rnacentral:lncRNA from 1 species
UCUCUCCUCUCUUCACGUCCAAAGAGUUGGACGUCCAUCUGACAAAGGUCUAAGACGUGGUGAUGCCUGGAACAAGAAGGCUGCAGGACAUCUUCGAUAGACUGCUACUCCAACUUCAGAAGGGGUUCUGAAGUACUUUUAAAUCAGAUAGAGAUCUGAUUUUUAGAGCAUAGAUUUAUAAGGAGAAGACGUUCCAGGUCCUGCCUGAGUGG